rnacentral:sRNA from 1 species
UAUAAUAAAUUAUAUUUUUGUAAAUAAUUUAACCAAUUGAAAUUUUAUAAAAAUUAUUAUAAGGUAAACCAACGAUUAUAUAACGGUUAAAUACCCGAAAGGAAUUAUUAUUAUCGCUAAAAAAAAGGAAAAAAAAAGGGUGCGGAAAAAAUUUUGGCGGCCCUUCCUCUUUUAUAUAUAAUGCAAUUUAUUACGUAAUCCCCGCUAUUAUUUAUAUACGGGGAUACGUGCAAUUAAUAUAAAUCCGUAAUAUAACCCUUUUUUUUUACCGGAAAUUUCCUAAUUUGUGGUUUUACCGUUCCAAAAUCCAGGUAUUUUUCCAACCGUUUCCCCCUUUUUCCGCCAAUAUCCCGUUUAACGGCCUUUUUGGAUUAUGGCGGGGAAAUAUGGGUAUCGAUUUAUUAUUUCCCCGGUAAUGCGCCGUGGGUUUCGUAACGGCGUAAUUAUACCCGCGCGUUUAUUUUAAUCCCGUAAUUAUAUAUUAUUAAUUUGGGGGUAUUUUAGCGUUUUAAUCGCGUUAUAACCGGUGCGGUUAUUAUAUAUUACCGGACAAUAUUAUAUUUAUUUCGUUUAUCGUUUUUUUUCGAAUUGGGAAAAUAUAUUGCGUUAUUAGGUUUUUUCCCCCCCAAUUUUUCCCGUUUUCGUUUUUUUUUUUAUUUUAUUUUUAUUUCGUUUUUAUUUCGCCUUUUUUUUAUUUCCGCCCCGUUUUCGUUCCGUUUACGUCCCGUUUUUAUUUUAUUUUUAUUUCGUUUUUUUUUUAUUUUCGUUUCGUUUUUAUUUUAUUUUUAUUUUAUUUUUAUUUACCCCGUUAUAUUAUUUUCCCGUUUGCGGUUUUACCACGGACCGGUAAAAAACCCUAUUUUUUAUAUUUUCGUCGUAUUUAUCCCUUUUUCCCCCAAAUUAUUUUUUUUUUUUCGUAAUUCCGUUUUUUUCGUUAAUAUAAUUAUUUUUUUAUUCGCAUUUUCGCCGUAUUUUGUUUUUUUUUCACCAAUUUUUUCGCGUUUUAAUUAUUUUUAUUUUCCCCGUCGUCGUUAUAUUUUCGCCGGUUUUUAAUUUUAAUUCCAAUAAUUUUAUCGAAACGUUUUUUUUUUUCCGUCGUCGUUAAUUCCGGCCAAUUUAAAUAUUCCGUCCAACGCAAUAUUAUUAUUAUUUCCGUUAAUAAUUCCAAAAUUCCUAUAAUAAAUCGGUAUAUUACCAUUUCGGAUGCGUUUUUUUUAUUAAUUGCGGUCGCAAAAUAUUUGUCGCGCCGUUGGUUCAAACGUGUUCGAAAAAAAUUCCGACGACGAAAAAUACGCCGCGUUUAAAUAACGUAUUCCGGUUUAUUUUUUUUAUAUUAAAUUUUCCAAAAUUAUUAAUAUUUUAAAUUAUCGCCCUUAUUUUA